AGAGUUUGAUCCUGGCUCAGAUUGAACGCUGGCGGCAUGCCUAACACAUGCAAGUCGAACGGUAACGACGGGAGCUUGCUCCCGGGCGACGAGUGGCGGACGGGUGAGUAAUACUUAGGAAUCUGCCCAGUAGUGGGGGACAACUCGAGGAAACUCGAGCUAAUACCGCAUACGCCCUACGGGGGAAAGCGGAGGAUCUUUCGGGACUUCGCGCUAUUGGAUGAGCCUAAAUCGGAUUAGCUUGUUGGUGGGGUAAAGGCCUACCAAGGCAACGAUCUGUAGCUGGUCUGAGAGGACGAUCAGCCACACUGGGACUGAGACACGGCCCAGACUCCUACGGGAGGCAGCAGUGGGGAAUAUUGGACAAUGGGGGCAACCCUGAUCCAGCAAUGCCGCGUGUGUGAAGAAGGCCUGCGGGUUGUAAAGCACUUUCAGUAGAGAAGAAAUGCCCAUGGUUAAUACCCGUGGGUCUUGACGUAACCUACAGAAGAAGCACCGGCUAACUCCGUGCCAGCAGCCGCGGUAAUACGGAGGGUGCGAGCGUUAAUCGGAAUUACUGGGCGUAAAGCGCGCGUAGGCGGUUUGGUCAGUCGGAUGUGAAAGCCCUAGGCUCAACCUGGGAAUGGCAUUCGAUACUGCCUGACUAGAGUAUGGUAGAGGGAAGUGGAAUUUCCGGUGUAGCGGUGAAAUGCGUAGAUA
rnacentral:rRNA from 1 species